UACGGGGGGGGCAAGCGUUGUUCGGAAUUACUGGGCGUAAAGGGCUCGUAGGCGGCCAACUAAGUCAGACGUGAAAUCCCCAGGCUCAACCUGGGAACUGCGUCUGAUACUGGAUGGCUUGAAUCCGGGAGAGGGAUGCAGAAUUCCAGGUGUAGCGGUGAAAUGCGUAGAUAUCUGGAGGAACACCGGUGGCGAAGGCGGCAUUCUGGACCGGCAUUGACGCUGAGGCGCGAAAGCCAGGGGAGCAAACGGG
rnacentral:rRNA from 1 species